UUCAUUUCUGUUUCCUAUCUUCCAAUGGAUGUGAACCAUCUGAUCCUUGGAACAGUUUUUCGCCAGCAGUACAAAACAACUGUGAAAGUCCCAACCUUGGCUCUAUCUUCUAUUAACACAGCAUUAACAUUGAAAGGGGCUCCCAGCAGAGGAGACCAACAAAGCACCUCUCUGCUCCUCAGUCCUGCUUUGGCUCUUCAGCUCACGGCUGGCCAACCCCCAGGCACCUUGCAGUGUUAAAGGAGACGUUAGAGCUGACGUUUGAGGAGCUGCUUCAGGGGCUGUAAUCUCUCUGUGCAAAUGGACUUUGUGAGUUCAAGGAAAACCCUGUAUCUGAAGCUCCAAGCAUCUGCACUGGCCUACCACAUCCUCACAAGCCCAGAAGGCUUAGAAGACAUUUUUUGGAAUGUUUCUGUUCUGUUAUGUUCUCCAGGGGGUGGAAACAGAAGAAAUUACAACAUCACACAGUUAAAUACAUGUGAGUAAUGGCACAAGCACUUGUUAAGUCAGAUGUUACUUUGAAACAUCAAAAUCUAUUAAAUUUUCAUGGGAAACUUGAAAUGUUGUCUUAAAGCACAACCACUUUAAUAGCAGCCCUUGACUUCCCUUUCUGAGACCAUCAUGGCAACAUCACAUACCAAUGAAGAAAAAUGCUUUGUUAAAAUGAUUAUACCAAAAUGGAAUUGUGGUUUAACCCUCUGACAUUAAACAUUGCACGGGUGUCAAAACAGUGGAUAAUUUUGUAUGGACUGUUCUACAAGGCAUAACUAUUUGAA